rnacentral:rRNA from 1 species
GACGAACGCUGGCGGCGUGCUUAACACAUGCAAGUCGAACGGUAAGGCCCUUCGGGGUACACGAGUGGCGAACGGGUGAGUAACACGUGGGUGAUCUGCCCUGCACUUCGGGAUAAGCCUGGGAAACUGGGUCUAAUACCGGAUAGGACCACUGCCUGCAUGGGUGGUGGUGGAAAGCUUUUGCGGUUUGGGAUGGGCCCGCGGCCUAUCAGCUUGUUGGUGGGGUGAGGGCCUACCAAGGCGACGACGGGUAGCCGGCCUGAGAGGGUGACCGGCCCAACUGGGACUCAGAGACGGCCCAGACUCCGCCGGGAGGCAGCGGUGGGGAAUAGUGCACAAUGGGCGCAAGCCUGAUGCAGCGACGCCGCGUGAGGGAUGACGGCCUUCGGGUUGUAAACCUCUUUCAGCACCGACGAAGCGCAAGUGACGGUAGGUGCAGAAGAAGGACCGGCCAACUACGUGCCAGCAGCCGCCGUAA